UGUGUAGGCGGCUUUCCAAGUUUGGUGUGAAAUCUCCCGGCUCAACCGGGAGAGUGCGCCGAAAACUGGAAGGCUAGAGUGCGGGAUGGGAGAGUGGAAUUCCUGGUGUAGCGGUGAAAUGCGUAGAUAUCAGGAGGAACACCGGUGGUGUAGACGGCUCUCUGGACCGUAACUGACGCUGAGACACGAAAGCGUGGGUAGCAAACA
rnacentral:rRNA from 1 species